CUGGAAUUAAGAAGGGUUAGUUUUUAGUUAGAUUUUAGUUGAAACUUAACAAGAGUCCAGGGAGGCCAGUUGUAAAAGAGGAGGAGAAAAAGCAUUCCAGGCAUAGGAGACAGCCAAAGAGAAAGAUUAUAUUUAUAGAGUGCUUAGCAGAGUACCUGGGCAAGUGGUAGGAGCUAGCUGGCUGGUAGUAGUAGUAGUAAGUAGCUAAGGGUCCAGGGCAGUAGACUAUAGUCAGCACUCAAUGUUUGCUGAAUUAAAUUGAACAGAAUCAUUGCGUGCAAGAAUGGAAUUAUGGGAACUUUAGAGGUGGUCUGCAGGAGUCAGCUGGUCCUUACUCUUUGUUGCUGCUGAGUUUGUCCAACUCUUCAUGACCUCAUUUGGGGUUUUCUUGGCAAAGAUACUGGAGCGGUUUGCCCUUUCCUUCUCAUUGAGACAAACAGGAUUAAGUGACUUGCCCAGGGUCAUACAGGUAAGUGUGUGAGGCUGAAUUUGAACUAAGCUCCUCCUGACUCCAGGCCCAGCACUCUAUUCAUUGCACCACCAAUUUUAUAACUGGAGAAACCGAAGGGUUAAAUGACUUGUCUAAGGUCACACCGCUGUUUUGUGACAUAGCUGAGAGAAUUCCCAGACAAGAUAGUACCGCCAGAAUCCAGCUGCUUAAUUUGGUCUCCACGAAAAGCCGCUUUCACAUCAUGCCUUAUCCAUCCCUACACGUGAUUUGGAACUUGAUCCCAUGGGACGGGGGUAAGGUUGUAGGUGCUCAGUCCAGCCCUUCCCUCACCCAGAGACUAAAGCUACGGGGGUCUUCGAUCUCCAGUCUUCUUUUGCCUUGGCGGGGGGGGGGGGGCCGAGGAGUCCCGUGAAGGUCAGCGCGAGGCAGGGGGGCUGUGCGCCUGGGCUUUCUUCCUUUCCGGCCGGGAAAGGGGCGUCACUGCACCCCUAGAGGCGUGGGUGUGGGAGGGAUGGACCAGAGCUUGGCUCACAGUGGGCUGGGGGAGGGGCCGGGACUGCUGUGACGUCGACACCGGCAUUGAGACCCCCCACAAUGCCGGUAAGGACCAGAACCCCGGGCGGCGCCAGACUCUGCAGGGAAGCUGUCCCAGUCCCUCUGCCCAGGGCCUGGGAGAGGCUGUCAGAUAUCCCCCUGCCCUUGUGAUCAUCUGGUGGCCACUCGGUGGUAGUC
rnacentral:lncRNA from 1 species